GGCGAACGGGUGAGUAAUGCAUCGGAACGUGCCCAGUCGUGGGGGAUAACGCAGCGAAAGCUGUGCUAAUACCGCAUACGAUCUAUGGAUGAAAGCGGGGGACCGUAAGGCCUCGCGCGAUUGGAGCGGCCGAUGUCAGAUUAGGUAGUUGGUGGGGUAAAGGCUCACCAAGCCAACGAUCUGUAGCUGGUCUGAGAGGACGACCAGCCACACUGGGACUGAGACACGGCCCAGACUCCUACGGGAGGCAGCAGUGGGGAAUUUUGGACAAUGGGCGCAAGCCUGAUCCAGCAAUGCCGCGUGCAGGAAGAAGGCCUUCGGGUUGUAAACUGCUUUUGUACGGAACGAAACGGUCUGGGUUAAUACCCUGGGCUAAUGACGGUACCGUAAGAAUAAGCACCGGCUAACUACGUGCCAGCAGCCGCGGUAAUAC
rnacentral:rRNA from 1 species